UUCAAGGACAACUUGAUGAAGUCAGUUCUCUCCUCCUAUCAUGUGAAUCCCAGAAGAAAUCCUGGCAAAGACCCAGUAUGAGAGAGGAUGGCAGAUAAUCAGCAGAGGUUCAACCUGUUGGACCCCAACACCAAACACAACACAUCAGGCGUCAGGCCGGGUCUGUGCUGGUCGUCACCUCUCUCUCUCCAGCAUCCAAACAAACAGCACUCCUCGGCAGGAGCAGAUGUGGGUGCCUCCCACCAUUAAGAAUAAAGCACUUGGGAGGCAGAGGCAGGCAGAUUUCUGAGUUUGAGGCCAGCUUGGGCUACAAAGUGAGUUCCAGGACAUCCAGGGCUACACAGAGAAACCCUGUCUGGAAAAAACAAAAAACAAAAACAAAAUAGCAACAAAAAAGAAUAAAGUCUGUACUGUAUCUCCAGCCUUAUCUACUAGUCAAGAGUCAGACACUCCCCAUGAAGUACUGGCUGUGUUAGGACUUUAAAACCUGUCAGAAGGAUUGCAGAUUGUGGUUACCAGCAGAAAUGCCCUAAAGGCAGAUCCUCCCACUGGAGCAACUGACAGGAAACACCCUGCCUGGAACAAUAUUCCUGCUGCAGAGGGUUUC
rnacentral:lncRNA from 1 species